GGGAGGAAUAUUGGUCAAUGGGCGGGAGCCUGAACCAGCCAAGUCGCGUGAAGGAAGAAGGAUCUAUGGUUCGUAAACUUCUUUUGCAGGGGAAUAAAGUGCAGGACGUGUCCUGUUUUGUAUGUACUGUACGAAUAAGGAUCGGCUAACUCCGUGCCAGCAGCCGCGGUAAUACGGAGGAUCCGAGCGUUAUCCGGAUUUAUUGGGUUUUAAGGGUGCGUAGGUGGUUUGAUAAGUCAGCGGUGAAAGUUUGCAGCUUAACUGUAAAAAUGCCGUUGAAACUGUCGGACUUGAGUGUAAAUGAAGUAGGCGGAAUGCGUGGUGUAGCGGUGAAAUGCAUAGAUAUCACGCAGAACUCCGAUUGCGAAGGCAGCUUACUAAGCUACAACUGACACUGAAGCACGAAAGCGUGGGGAUCAAACAGGAUUAGAUACCCCUGUAGUCC
rnacentral:rRNA from 1 species